rnacentral:rRNA from 1 species
AUACGGAGGACGCGAGCGUUAUCCGGAUUCAUUGGGUUUAAAGGGUGCGCAGGCGGCCGUGCAAGUCAGCGGUGAAAGCCCGGGGCUCAACCCCGGAAGUGCCGUUGAUACUGCAUGGCUGGAAUGCGGUCGAGGCGGGCGGGACGUGGCGUGUAGCGGGGAAUUGCGUAGAUAUGCCACAGAACGCCGAUAGCGGGGGCAGCGCGCCAGGCCUGCAUUGACGCUCGGGCACGAAAGCGUGGGGAUCGAACAGGAUUAGAUACCCGGGUAGUCCACGCCGUAAACGAUGGGCGCUCGUCGUCGGCGGCAGACAGUCGGCGGCCAAGCGAAAGCGAUAAGCGCCCCACCUGGGGAGUACGGUCGCAAGGCUGAAACUCAAAUGAAUUGGCGGGG